GGCUAGGGGUCAAAUCUGAGCUGCAGCUGCCAGCCUGCACCACAGUCACAGUCACAGCCACAGCCACAGCCACAACAACACAGGAUCAGAGUGAAGUCUGUGACCUACAGCACAGCUAAUGUCAAUGCAGGAUCCUUAACCCACUGAGCUAGGCCAGGGAUUGAGCCCGAAACCUCACAGAUACUAGUCGGGUUCAUUACUGCUGAGCCACAUUGGGAACUAAAUAGAGAAGUAUUUCAUAAAUAGUACUGCAAACACACUGCUACCUCCAGCUAAUGGUUUGUGUACUCUUAAACUUAGACUGAAGACAGUAAGGGAAAGAAAUAUUUUCAAUGAGGGGUUGGAGGUGGAGUGGGGGGGUAUGUAAGUAUAGAGAGAAAUUAACAACUUAAAAUUUUAGAGCCGUGUAUACAUUGGGGUUGUCCAAUAUAUCUCCUGUGUCCAGUGUAUCAUACUCUGCACUGUGAUUAAGAAUUCAGGCAAAUCCUCAAAAUUGUGGCAUUGACCUCAUGUGGUUUAUGUCUUGAGAGUCAAGGCUAAGAUAUUGAAGGCACCAUAUUUCUAAAUAAUAAUAAUAAUAAUUAUAACAAUUAGUUCAGUGUAUAAGGCUGGGAUAAGAGCAAUCAUUUCUCAUAAUUGUAAAUAAGGUAAAUUCACACACUGAACAAGUACUCAAGAAGAGAACUCUUUUUUAUCAGUUACCUGCUCUUUAUAGACAGCUUGGUUAUUGUGUGCCUAUUUCUUCUCCUCCAGCUCCCCGCCUUCCCCCGCUGCUACCCACUAUGACAGUUACUUUAGAAAUAAGUGACUUGGUUCCUGGAUGGAUUUCCAGCCCUUCUGCAUGACACAGGUUCCAAAUGUCAAAUUGCAACUAUGGAGAAGCCUGUGAACUAUGAUAAUGGAUAAACUCGUGUGUGUUAACAGUCCUGUUUGGUGCUAGAGCAGGGUUGCCAAGACAUAGUCUGAAUGAGUUGGGGGUUUCUGAGAUCUUGUAAAAUGAGGCCAAUUUGAAAUGUUGGCACUGAAUGCUGAGCUUUUUAUAAUAGCCCACGUUGUCCCAUUUUCUUCUAGAGUUGAAUAGGAACAAAAUACCUGGCUUCAUGCAGUGGUUCUCUGAUGACAAAUGAACUAAUUAGAGGUGGUGUUUCUUAGUUCAUCCCAAAGAUCUUAGCCUAGCCGUGGAAGAUGUGGGAAAUGCAGGCUCUGAUAGCUUUAGUUUUAGAAAAGACAACUUUUAACAUCUGAAACUGUCUCCCCUAGCUCUCUACUAUCUGAUCCCCUCUAGUAUUUUCUUUGUAUAGAUGGGUCCAGGUAGGCUAAGGGUAACUGUACUAUUUAAUACAUUAACUCAAUGACAGAGCAAAUCUAUUAAACAGAUUACCUUUCACCUUUGGUGUGUAAAGAAGUCUUCGUAUGCCAAGGUCAUGAGGCCUCUUAGCAAAGUUCCUGUGAGAGAAAUUAACAUUUUUAUCACAUAAUCUAAUCUAUCAAGUGGAGUAGAUUCCAAGGUAAGUCCAUCUAGUACUGCUUUUUUUUUUUUUUCCUUUAAAAAAGGCCAGCAGUGAAAGAAGUCAUUGAAUUAAAAGUGCUAUAUGAAAAAUAAAAGGGGAGAGAAUACAGAUAAGGAAGGUUUACAUCUUCAUGCUCUUGUAGGAUAUGGCAGUAUUUGUAGGUGGCAGAUUGUAGAGAGAAGGCCAUAAAGGCAACUACAGUGACAUUGAGGCAGAGAAAAAGCUUGCUGGAGAUUAUGGGUUCCUGUUACUUAUGAUCAGAUGCCUUUCAGUUACUUUUGAGGUGAAGGAUUUAUACACUGCAGAAAUCCUGAUCACAUUGAUGGGAAUGAUGUGGGACUUCAAAGGAUAGGUUUUGAAGUUGUUGGACAUUUAGUUUCAGAUUUCCAUCUCCAAAACUCAAAUCUGAAUUGCUCAUUGGUUCAGAGAGGAAAAUGCUUAAUUUGAAAUUCUGUCAUAAACUCUGUGAGAGCAGACAAACUUAGAUGAGCUUAGAAAUAGCUUUGAAUCCCAAAUCUCAAUACCGUUAUACUACUUGAUUAUAGAAGAAAACGGGACCACCUGUCUCUAACAAGGAGAGACGCCUAUUGGAAAUAUCUCAGCAUGUGCGUUCUCAGCCCAUCAUAGAGAACAUGACAUUUAAGCCGUAUGGAUAGUUCUGGUCUCAUGUCAUCUAAACAUCACAUUUUUCAAACUCAGAAAUGCCAGAUCGUGUUAUUUCUGCGGCAAGGCGUUGCUUAGGAUCUGUGACAGAUGAGUUUUCCCUAUCGAUUAUGUGACAAUGCAGUUCAUUUAUAGAGUUCAAGGAAAUGAGAACAGCCUCCAGUUUAACAAGAAGACCCUUAAUUCAAGGGCUGUGUUGUAUUUAAAUGCAGAAAUCAAAAUUCAAGUUGGAGAAAGUGGAAGAGUGAAUUUAACUGUGAACUCGAACUUUUAUAGCUCAGUCAUCCUCCUUGGAGGGCUGCAACUGAUCACUGAAUCUGAUGCCUUCUGAUUAGGUGACUGAUUUGUAAAUAAACCAUGCAAGAAAUCAUAUCUUACAUAGAGAAUUCAUCUUUACAUCAAUGUACACAUUUAAAGUUGCUCCUAAUGUAAAACAUGUAGUGAAUCCAAAAUGUAAAAAACAAAGGGCACCCUAGCGAGUCUAUGUGCAUAUGGGGAGGAGGGGCUGUUAAUAGAGAUACCAACCUGAAAACACUUUGAAAGAACUUUCCAGAUUUAUCUUAAAUUCUGAAAUGAUUUAAUAUGCACAUGUUCUUCCAAUGGUACAGACAGGCAUGCAGAAGUAACUAGACGUCCAACACAUGCCAAGGUCUUGCGGGCCCAGGAUUUCGAACAAAAGAAAACUCGGUAACGUGACUGUAAAUCAAGGGCAUUUGAGACCAUAGACGCGCGCACCACUGCAAGGGUUAAUUGGAGGAGAGGGAAGAGAGAGGCUCCACCUUGCAGUCUGUGUGAACUUCGGCCAGAAAAAGAGCUGGAGCUCCAGCCGCCGCCGGUGGGAGCCCUGCAGUCCGCGGCACGCGGUCCCUUGUUGUGGGGCAGGUGUGGCGCCGGGUAGAGGCGGGGCGCAACCUGGAAACUGCCGCCUGAGCUGUGGCCCGCGCCCUGCCUACCCUUUGGCGCAUCUGUUUCUUUAUUGCCUGAAAGCCAUCCGACGCGUUGAAGGCGCGAUUAUCGACAAUUUGUCAGCCCGAUUUUGUCGCUUGCAAUAACUUUUGGUGAAGUUUCACUCUCAGGCCCUUGAGUUUCGGGAUGAGGAAAUGUGGUAUGAGAGCAUUGUCCUGUGUUUGGCUUCUCAUUUCCACAGGACCCAGGCAGGCAGAAGAAGGGAAAAGAAAGUUAAUCCGACUGCAGUCACUCUGGCACACAAGCCAUGGGGAAACGGGAGAGAAACUUGUUCCUUCUCCUACAAAACUCUCCCCUUCCCCCUCAAGCCCCUCCCCCCACCAGGUCCUUUUUAAUAGAUCAGUCCCUCAUCUCCCCCCCCCUCCACACACGUAUUCUUGGGCCCACAAUUCUCUUGAGCAACCUAGGACUGAGUUUUUGUGUUUUGUUUGUUUUGCUUGCUUUUUCCUUUGUGUUUGUGGAUGUGGAUUGUUUUUCAGGGACCAGGGGCCAGGACCGCAGCUCUAAACCUGAACCGUUCACCUUCAUGAUCCCUUUCUUCCCCUCUUCUUGAUUGGUGGCUGUCGUGGCCAAGACCAUGCCCUUUCCUGAGCAUGGAGCAGUGGGGCAGCUGCUCUGAAGCAGCUGCUGUGCCUUACCCCUCUUUUCUCAAUCAUUAAAAUUCAAUUUCAAAAUUUCUGUCUUUAACAAUUUCCUAAGGAGACUAUGAAGAAUGCCAAAAGAGUGGGCCUUUUUUCAAGUGGUCAUGUUUCAGCAAAAGGCAGGCACAGUCCAAGUUGCCCUAGGUUGUGCCCUUAUAGGAGCAGGGCAGUGGAUGUUGUGUAAAAUGGAGUGCUGUGCCCACCUUGAACGAGAGACGAGCUCUGGCAGGUCAAGAACCUGGGGAGAGCAACUCCAGCUUUUCCAUCCACAUCACCCCUGCAGCUUGAUGGAGCACAGCACCAAGCAGGAAGUUCUCAUUUUUUUUUUUUUUUUAAUGUCCACACCCAUGACAUACAGAAGUUUCUGGCCCAGGGAUUGAAUCUAAGUUUCAGCUAUGACCUAUGUGGCAGCUAUAGCAAUGCCAGAUCCCUUAACCCGCUGCACCAAGCUGGGGAUCAAACCCUCACCUCUGCAGCAACCCAAGCUGCUGCAGUUAGAUUUUUAACCCACUGCACCACAGCUGGAACUCUGGGGAAGUUCUCUUUAAUAGUUCCUCACUUUCUUCCUUGAUCCAAAAAGAAAAAUAUUUGUAUUCGGAAAGUUCUCUUCUGCUAAGAAGUUUCUAUUAACAUCUCUUUCUCCUUUCAGUGAAGUCUGUUUCUGGGUCAAGGGGAGUGUUUUAAGAAACAGAAAAAUAGAGACACACACAUAACUGCAAUAGGUAGCUGAACUUCAUCAGGAGCCUUGAGUAGCCAAGAAAACAUUCUUCUGAUGCAACUUCAGAGUUUCAUCCCCUGCUCCAAAAUUUAUCAUGUAAUUAGUACCCAAAAUGCCUCCUUUAACCAACACCCAUUGCAACCUAUGGAAAAGAUGUAGCAUUUUUUUUUUGAAAUUCUAGAUGGACCUAAGGAUUACCUGACUCCUAUUGCCAUCACCUCUUAAUCACACAAAACUGUUUUCCUAAACACCAACCUUUUUCCCUAUAAAAACCACUGACCCCUCAGUAUACCUAGUACCUUUUUUCCUCCCUUUAAAUUAUUAUUCCUUACUCUUUUCCGUUCUGGGGCCCUGAGCCAGAUUCUCAGAAUUAAUCCUGAGUUCUCCCAAAUGCCAUGACAAGUUAGAAGGGAAAUUGGGGGACUGCACUGAAAAUACAUGGUAUAGAGAGUAAAUGUUACAGCUGUUGACAAGUGGCAGUUUGGGGUAUCAGCAAUGAAUUCCACAUUUUUCUAUAGGCUUCUUUUUACUUCACUUUAGGAUCCACUGAUCCUGAUAGAAACAAGUUAAAACUGCAGUUCCCUUCGUGGCGCAGUGGUUAACGAAUCCGACUAGUAACCAUGAGGUUGUGGGUUUGAUCCCUGGCCUUGCUCAGUGGGUUAAGGAUCCGGCGUUGCUGUGAGCUGUGGUGUAGGCCGGUGGCUGCAGCUCCGAUUAGACCCCUAGCUUGGGAAUCUCCAUAUGCCCCUGGAGCAGCCAUAGAAAAGGC
rnacentral:lncRNA from 1 species